rnacentral:rRNA from 1 species
UACGAAGGGUGCAAACGUUGCUCGGAAUCAUUGGGCGUAAAGCGCACGUAGGCGGCUCCAAAAGUCGGAUGUGAAAUCCCUGGGCUCAACCGAGGAAGUGCAUCCGAAACUGCGGAGCUUGAGUAUGGAAGAGGGUCGCGGAAUUCCCGGUGUAGAGGUGAAAUUCGUAGAUAUCGGGAGGAACACCAGUGGCGAAGGCGGCGAUCUGGGCUGAUACUGACGCUGAGGUGCGAAAGCGUGGGGAGCAAACAGG